rnacentral:rRNA from 1 species
GAUGAACGCUGGCGGCGUGCCUAAUACAUGCAAGUCGAGCGAACGGACGAGAAGCUUGCUUCUCUGAUGUUAGCGGCGGACGGGUGAGUAACACGUGGAUAACCUACCUAUAAGACUGGGAUAACUUCGGGAAACCGGAGCUAAUACCGGAUGAUAUUUUGAACCGCAUGGUUCAAAAGUGCAAGAGGGUUUUGCUGUCACUUAUAGAUGGAUCCGCGCUGCAUUAGCUAGUUGGUAAGGUAACGGCUUACCAAGGCAACGAUGCAUAGCCGACCUGAGAGGGUGAUCAGCCACACUGGAACUGAGACACGGUCCAGACUCCUACGGGAGGCAGCAGUAGGGAAUCUUCCGCAAUGGGCGAAAGCCUGACGGAGCAACGCCGCGUGAGUGAUGAAGGUCUUCGGAUCGUAAAACUCUGUUAUUAGGGAAGAACAUAUGUGUAAGUAACUGUGCACAUCUUGGCGGUACCUAAUCAGAAAGCCACGGCUAACUACGUG